rnacentral:sRNA from 1 species
ACCUACAACCGCAUCAUCAACCAGAUCUCUACCAAUGAGAUCCAGAGUGACCAGAACCUGAAGGUGCUGCCACCCCCUCUGCCCACUAUGCCCACUCUCACCAGCCUCCCAUCUUCCACUGACAAGCCGUCGGGAAUCAUCAUUUCUGGAAGAAGCAGGCCAGAGGCUCCCCUGUCAGAAUGUCAGCACACAUCCAGUCCCCUGAAGCUCAGCCCCUUGUUCAUCCAGAACACCUGAGCCUUCCCAGUGGGCUGCCAUAUGAGAACUAUAUUCAUCUCUGCAUAAACGAACCAUGUAUCUACUCCAA